rnacentral:rRNA from 1 species
GACGAACGCUGGCGGCGUGCUUAACACAUGCAAGUCGAACGGAAAGGCCCUGCUUUUGUGGGGUGCUCGAGUGGCGAACGGGUGAGUAACACGUGAGUAACCUGCCCUUGACUUUGGGAUAACUUCAGGAAACUGGGGCUAAUACCGGAUAGGAGCUCCUGCUCCAUGGUGGGGGUUGGAAAGUUUCGGCGGUUGGGGCUGGACUCGCGGCUUAUCAGCUUGUUGGUGGGGUAGUGGCUUACCAAGGCUUUGACGGGUAGCCGGCCUGAGAGGGUGACCGGCCACAUUGGGACUGAGAUACGGCCCAGACUCCUACGGGAGGCAGCAGUGGGGAAUAUUGCACAAUGGGCGGAAGCCUGAUGCAGCAACGCCGCGUGCGGGAUGACGGCCUUCGGGUUGUAAACCGCUGUCGCCUGUGACGAAGCGUGAGUGACGGUAAUGGGUAAAGAAGCACCGGCUAACUACGUG